rnacentral:rRNA from 1 species
UACGUAGGGUGCAAGCGUUGUCCGGAAUUAUUGGGCGUAAAGGGCGCGUAGGCGGCUUGGCAAGUGGAAGGUGAAAUCCCUCGGCUUAACCGAGGAACUGCCCUCCAAACUGCUUUGCUUGAGGCCGGGAGAGGUGAGUGGAAUUCCUGGUGUAGCGGUGAAAUGCGCAGAUAUCAGGAGGAACACCGGUGGCGAAGGCGGGGUCUCUGGGCCGAUAUCGACGCUGGAGGAGCGAAAGCGUGGGGAGCGAACAGG